CUGCCCUCUACUGGCUCAUGGAGACACCUUCAUGGUCUCUGAGCUGUUGGUCUCAGUUUGCGUUUUCACUUCUCAUUGAAUCAGUGGAGAUGUUCUCCGAAGCUUUGUGAGAAACUCUUUUCAUCUCUGCUGAGCGUGGGCUCGUCUUCAGGUGAACUACCAUGCUCACACCUGAGAGUGGCCGGCCUGGUGGUGGGGGGGGGGGUCCAUUGUUUGGAUCCGCCUGGAUCCCUCCAGCGUUUCCUGGAGGGGGUUCAUCACGAUCCUGUGAGACAAGCAAGCAGCCUGAACGGGAUGUAAUGACAUCCAGAGGUACACAACAGAGAGGAACCUUUGAGGAAACCUCUGGUGUUGCUUUGUAUCCGUAUCCCGAGACACAGCAUCCGUGUUGGGUAAAGAUACAGAGGACGAUGGAGGAGAGCGACUCCAAUGAACAAGACGGAGAACAAAGAAAAAACAAGGGUGACACGAGGAACCAGGACGCACAAAGAUCCUCCUUCACUCCAACGCGGCUUUUUGUUCUGCAGAAUUUACUCGGAUGCAAAUGAAGCAUCAGUCCGGUGGCCGACGUCUCCGCCAUGAGACGCUACACAUGAGGGACAAAAGAUACCCGGGUUUGCCAUUUGUAAUCUGGGGGGACUGACCCUUUAACUGCCCCCCCCCCCCCCUUCCCCCACCUGUCCAUCACCUCAGUCCCACAGCUUUUAAAACCUGGAACCCAUUGAGACGCAGCUCCGUGAAGGUCUCUUAAAGGAACACAUAAAGUACACAACGUGCGACAAAUGCUGCGGUUGUGUGUGUGAUUUAGGGGUUCGGUAAUAAUAACUCAUUAAACGUUAACCUUUGUGAUUACACUGCAGAUUGACCCGCUGUGUGUGUGUGUGUGUGUGUGUGUGUGUGUGUGUGUGUGUGUGUGUGUGUGUGUGUGUGUCAUCUUUUGGGCUGUUUUGUUAAGACGUUUAAAGUGUGAGAACAAAUGACAAACACAAAGAAAAAGAAAGCGCUGCUUAAAUGUUUGUGGAAGAUACCCAAGUAAAAUAUAUUUGUGUUCGGUCCAAUCACUAUAAAAACCUGCUAAACACACACACACGCACACACAGACACACACAGACACACAAGCUCCCAAAAACAACAUUUACAGUUCUUUGUCCGACAGGAAAACAGCAGAGCUGAGUAAACAAAAGUGUGUCAGAC
ensembl:lncRNA